AGUGAACGCUGGCGGUAGGCCUAACACAUGCAAGUCGAACGGCAGCACAGUAAGAGCUUGCUCUUACGGGUGGCGAGUGGCGGACGGGUGAGGAAUACAUCGGAAUCUACUUUUUCGUGGGGGAUAACGUAGGGAAACUUACGCUAAUACCGCAUACGACCUACGGGUGAAAGCAGGGGAUCUUCGGACCUUGCGCGAUUGAAUGAGCCGCUGUCGGAUUAGCUAGUUGGCGGGGUAAAGGCCCACCAAGGCGACGAUCCGUAGCUGGUGUGAGAGGAUGGUCAGCCACACUGGAACUGAGACACGGUCCAGACUCCUACGGGAGGCAGCAGUGGGGAAUAUUGGACAAUGGGCGCAAGCCUGAUCCAGCCAUACCGCGUGGGUGAAGAAGGCCUUCGGGUUGUAAAGACCUUUUGUUGGGAAAGAAAAGCAGCAGGUUAAUACCCCGCGGUUCUGACGGUACCCAAAGAAGAAGCACCGGCUAACUUCGUG
rnacentral:rRNA from 1 species